CAGUUAUCGUUUANUUGAUAGUACCUCUUACCUGGAUAACUGUGGUAAUUCUAGAGCUAAUACAUGCUAAAAACCCCGACUUUCGAAGGGGUGUAUUUAUUAGAUUAAAAACCAAUGCCCUUCGGGGUUAAAAGGUGAUUCAUGAUAACUAAACGAAUCGCAUGGCCUUGCGCCGGCGAUGGUUCAUUCAAGCUUCCGCCCUAUCAGCUAGUCUCGAGGGUAUUGUCCUCUAGUGGCUUCUACGGGUAACGGGGAAUUAGGGUUCUAUUCCGGAGAGGGAGCCUGAGAAACGGCUACCACAUCCAAGGAAGGCAGCAGGCGCGCAAAUUACCCAAUCCCGACACGGGGAGGUAGUGACAAGAAAUACUGAAUCUUGGCCCUUUCGGGUCUGGAUAUCGGAAUGAGUACAGUUUAAAAACCUUAACGAGAACCAAUUGGAGGGCAAGUCUGGUGCCAGCAGCCGCGGUAAUUCCAGCUCCAAUAGCGUAUAUUAAAGUUGUUGCAGUUAAAAAGCUCGUAGUUGAACUUUGGGCUUGGCUGUCCGGUCCGCCUCACGGCGUGUACUGGUUCGGCCGGGCCUUUCCUCCUGGGGAGCGGCAUGCCCUUUACUGGGCGUGUCCGCGAGCCAGGGCUUUUACUUUGAAAAAAUUAGAGUGUUCAAAGCAGGCAUAUGCUCGAAUACAUUAGCAUGGAAUAAUAGAACAGGACGUGCGUUCUGAUUUUGUUGGUUUCUCGGGACGCCGUAAUGAUUAAUAGGGACGGUCGGGGGCAUCGGUAUUCGAUUGUCAGAGGUGAAAUUCUUGGAUUUAUCGAAGACCAACUGCUGCGAAAGCGUUUGCCAAGGACGUUUUCAUUAAUCAGUGAACGAAAGUUAGGGGAUCGAAGACGAUCAGAUACCGUCGUAGUCUUAACCAUAAACUAUGCCGACUAGGGAUCGGGCCGUGUUAUGUUUUUGACCGGCUCGGCACCUUACGAGAAAUCAAAGUUUUUGGGUUCUGGGGGGAGUAUGGUCGCAAGGCUGAAACUUAAAGAAAUUGACGGAAAGGCACCACCAGGCGUGGAGCCUGCGGCUUAAUUUGACUCAACACGGGAAAUCUCACCAGGUCCAGACACAGUAAGGAUUGACAGAUUGAGAGCUCUUUCUUGAUUUUGUGGUUGGUGGU
rnacentral:rRNA from 1 species